rnacentral:tRNA from 1 species
GGUCACUUAACUCAGCGGUAGAGUGCCACAUUCACAUUGUGGAAGUCGCUGGUUCAAAUCCAGCAGUGACCA